GAUGAACGCUGGCGGCAUGCCUAAUACAUGCAAGUCGAGCGAGAGGAAGGAAAGCUUGCUUUUCUGAAUCUAGUGGCGAACGGGUGAGUAACACGUAGGUAACCUGCCCAUGUGCCCGGGAUAACUUCUGGAAACGGAUGCUAAAACCGGAUAGGUAGCAGACAAGCAUUUGACUGCUAUUAAAGUGGCCUUGGCCAUGAACAUGGAUGGACCUGCGGUGCAUUAGCUGGUUGGUGAGGUAACGGCCCACCAAGGCGACGAUGCAUAGCCGGCCUGAGAGGGCGGACGGCCACAUUGGGACUGAGACACGGCCCAAACUCCUACGGGAGGCAGCAGUAGGGAAUUUUCGUCAAUGGGGGGAACCCUGAACGAGCAAUGCCGCGUGAGUGAGGAAGGUCUUCGGAUCGUAAAGCUCUGUUGUAAGAGGAAAACGGCACUCAUAGGGAAUGAUGAGUGAGUGAUGGUAUCUACCAGAAAG
rnacentral:rRNA from 1 species